UACGGGGGGGGCGAGCGUUGUUCGGAAUCACUGGGCGUAAAGGGCGCGUAGGCGGCCCGCACAAGUCUGCGGUGAAACCCCCGGCUUAACCGGGGGCCGGCCGUGGAAACUGUCGGGCUAGAGGCCGGGAGAGGGCAGCGGAAUUCCCGGUGUAGCGGUGAAAUGCGUAGAGAUCGGGCGGAACACCAGCGGCGAAGGCGGCAUCCUGGCCCUUACCUGACGCUGAGGCGCGAGAGCGUGGGGAGCAACCGG
rnacentral:rRNA from 1 species